rnacentral:ribozyme from 1 species
CGCAAAUAUAAUACACAUUUUGAAACAAAUAAAAAAAAAUAAAAAAUACAUAUAAAUCUCUUGUUUU